rnacentral:lncRNA from 1 species
GCGGACUGAGCUAAAUCACGAUAUAAAUGUGAUAAGAUACAAGAUGAAAUAAGCUAAGCCAAUAAAAAAGGGACAACUUGGAAUGAGCUUUGACACUAUUGUACAUAAGUAAAUGGAUGCAAUGACAUAAUAACAUAAGGAUCACACAACUAUAAUUACAAUAUUGGGCCCAAUAAGCUAAUAAGUAUGGAAAAGUAAAUAACCCAACGCAGGAACCCCAUAAGCCUGGAGGGCACAAUCAAGGGAACUAUGUAACCGAAUAACCAUAGGUUACCGAUUACCAUACCUUAACAAGGAUCCAUCCGAAUCGUA